GGAAGUAAAAGUCGUAACAAGGUUUCCGUAGGUGAACCUGCGGAAGGAUCAUUCAUAAUAAGUGUUCUACUGCACUUUUUAAACAAGUACUCACCUUGUGUGCAAUGUUUGCUGUCAGGUUCGUUUGUUCGUCUUGACAGCAUAAUACCAACCUUUAUUUUAAAUAUUUUUGUCUGAAGCUAUUUUGAAUAUAUAAUUCUAAAUACAACUUUCAACAACGGAUCUCUUGGCUCUCGCAUCGAUGAAGAACGCAGCGAAAUGCGAUACGUAAUGUGAAUUGCAGAAUUCAGUGAAUCAUCGAAUCUUUGAACGCACAUUGCACUCUCUGGUAUUCCGGAGAGUAUGCUUGUUUGAGUAUCUGUAAACAUCUCAAAUCUCUCUUCGCUUGCGUCGAGAGAAUUGGAUUUGAGCGAUCCCAACUCCUUCAUCAGAAAGAGGAGGGUCGCUUGAAAUGCAGGUGCAGCUGGACAUUCUUCUGAGCUAAAAGCAUAUCUAUUUAGUCCCGUCAAACGGAUUAUUACUUUUGCUUCAGCUAAUAUAAAGGUUGAAUGAACUACCAAUGCUGAUUGCAGGGAAACUCGUUUGUAACAGAACUUGUAAACUCGAUCUCAAAUCAAGUAAGACUACCCGCUGAACUUAAGCAUAUCAAUAAGCGGAGGA
rnacentral:rRNA from 1 species